rnacentral:misc_RNA from 1 species
GUGAAUCAUCGAAUCUUUGAACGCACCUUGCGCUCCUUGGUAUUCCGAGGAGCAUGCCCGUUUGAGUAUCGUGACAUCUUCAAACCCACGGCCUUCUUGGUUUGUGGGCUUUGGACUUGGGGGCUGCUGGUCUCUCGAGAUCGGCUCCUCUGAAAUGCAUUAGCUGGGCACAUCCGGCCAACAGCGGUGUGAUAGUUGAUCAUCGUUGGGCCCGAACCUGACCGGCUUCUAAUGACCCCGUCUUAUAUCACUUCGAUCUCAAAUCGGGUAGGACUACCCGCUGAACUUAAGCAUAUCAAUAAGCGGAGGA